ACAGAGGAUAGUGACAAUGCGGCUACUAACCAUGUGGUUUGUGUGGGGCGCAAUUCUAACAGACCUGAGUCGCGGAGAUUCUGUCACUCAGUCACUCCCUUCAGACGUUCGGACAGAAGGAGAUGCGGUAACACUAACCUGUACCUAUGAUACUACAUCGAGCUACUAUACAUUGUUCUGGUACCGACAGCACCAAGGCUCACAGCCCGAAUUUAUUUUGUUGAAAGGUAAUGCUGGAAGAAAUCAUAAAGCAAAUUUUGUGCAAGAUCGUUUCUCUAUGGAACUUCAGACCUCAAAUAAAUUCACCAGUUUGACUAUCGCCAGGCUACGGCUGUCUGACGUUGCGGUGUAUUACUGCGCUUUCAGUGACAGCACAGUGAUGAUAAGCAGUCUUACUCCUAUGUCCAUUCUGAGUAGUGUUGACCAAGCGAAAGGAAAAGCUGGGGAGACGCAGCAAAGCAUUGAGACUGACCUGGAAAACCAGUGGAUUCGAUCUGGGGAAGCCACUACAUAUACUGGAACAGACAAAGUCCGGGGAAUGGCCUUUAAUGGCUAUAUUGGUACUAUGAUCAAAGCCUGA